CGAAACCACAGCACACUUUGGCAAAGAGGGAAUGCACAACAAAACGGAUAUGACAGCUGCAUAGAUUCAACCUACUAUGAAAAGCCAAAACAUGGAAUAUUACACUAAUUAAACGGUUACACAACAGAACAUGGAAUGUGCGACACUUCAUCUUGGGAUGCAAAUUUUUGUGCUAAAAAAAACUGAGAAAAACAAAAAGAAAAACAUGUAUUUCUGAGGAACUUGUUUUUAUAUCUGGCAUAAAUGAGAAAAAGCUAAUUAAAACUAUUAAUUAUCAGAAAAUUGAAGAUAAAGUUGAAGAGCCUAUACCAACCAAAGUUGAAUAAAUGGCAAAAUAUAAUAUAGAUGAGUUACUCUGAAAUAAUUUUU
rnacentral:lncRNA from 10 species